rnacentral:rRNA from 1 species
UGGGGAAUAUUGCACAAUGGGCGCAAGCCUGAUGCAGCCAUGCCGCGUGUAUGAAGAAGGCCUUCGGGUUGUAAAGUACUUUCAGCGAGGAGGAAGGCGUUGUGGUUAAUAACCACAGCGAUUGACGUUACUCGCAGAAGAAGCACCGGCUAACUCCGUGCCAGCAGCCGCGGUAAUACGGAGGGUGCAAGCGUUAAUCGGAAUUACUGGGCGUAAAGCGCACGCAGGCGGUCUGUCAAGUCGGAUGUGAAAUCCCCGGGCUCAACCUGGGAACUGCAUCCGAAACUGGCAGGCUAGAGUCUUGUAGAGGGGGGUAGAAUUCCAGGUGUAGCGGUGAAAUGCGUAGAGAUCUGGAGGAAUACCGGUGGCGAAGGCGGCCCCCUGGACAAAGACUGACGCUCAGGUGCGAAAGCGUGGGGAGCAAACAGG